UCCGUAGGUGGAUAAUUAAGUCGGAGGUGAAAUCCUGCAGCUCAACUGUAGAAUUGCCUUUGAUACUGGUUAUCUUGAGUCAUUAUGAAGUGGUUAGAAUGUGUAGUGUAGCGGUGAAAUGCAUAGAUAUUACACAGAAUACCGAUUGCGAAGGCAGAUCACUAAUAAUGUACUGACACUGAUGGACGAAAGCGUGGGGAGCGAACAGGAUUAGAUACCCUGGUAGUCC
rnacentral:rRNA from 1 species